ensembl:lncRNA
AUUAACAACACCAUCAUCAAGAUGUUUUGCAAGACAUGUUGAGCUUGGAUGACAAUUAAACUCUGCCGUUUAAAGACUACAAAUGAUUUGACUUUUGUUGAAGAAUUCCAUCAGGAUCUAAUCCAUAUAAAUUAACAAUUAGAAGGGCUUAUCCAUAUUUUAUUUAUUUAUUUUACACACGCUACUGCUCUUGAAUGUGUUACUGAUUUGUUAAUGUCAGUGUCAAUUAAGGUCAUAAGUUAAAUCAUUACUUUUGGGAUCUCUAGUUUCUACAUAACACAUGCUAUAUGGAGAGGAUCUCUGUAGGCCAGAGAUAGGGACAAUGAGAAGCAGAUUGAGUUUAACUCAGACUUUUAGUUGAAAGAAUGUUGAAGUCGAUGUUGAAGUACGCUGCACUACUAGGAUUAUUGUAUGCAGAUGUUAAAAUCGUCACAUAGAGAGAGUGGGCUGCUGUUUUUGGAGACGGGACAGAAGGCUGUUUCAAGUCUGUAUAAAAAUUUGCUCAGAGGACCAGUGAGAAAACAUACAAACAAUGCACUGUAUCUAUCUAUAUAUAUCUCUAUCUCUCUCUCUCUCUUUCUCUCUCUCUCUCUCUCUGUGCGCAUGUGCUGAGUGAGUGGGCGGAGUUGGCGUCUGAGCGAGUGAGGUUCCAACGGUGUGUGCGUGAGUGUUUUUUCGAACUUUUCUUAUUGUUUUUUGUUGAUGGGUAUUUGCUUUAUUGUGGUUGAUUGUUGUUUAAAGAAAGGUUAGUUUGAGAACAGUAGUUUUUGUUACGCGGCCGCCUGCUUUUGCUGGCUGGCAUGGCGGUACCGGCGGUGUCAGCUUUUGAUAAGCUGAGUAGACGGCAUGGGAUUAAAGUACUUGCUGAGACACAAUGCUCAGUGGAGCAGUGUAGUUUAGCGGUGGCAGAUGUGGUGGGAUGUGAGAGUAUAAUAUCUGCAUCUCGGAUGAACAGCGCUGUUGUGUUGUUUUUAGACAGCAUUGAUAAAGUGAAUUUAGUGGUAGAAAAUGUCAUUGUGAUCAAUGAUACUUUCACCCCGGUGAUGCCGCUUGUGCAACCGGCGAAGAGAGUAACGCUUUCAAAUGUGCCGCCGUUCAUUAAAGAUGAAACGUUGGAGAGAGAGCUGAUGAGGCAUGGUAAAAUCAUGUCGAAGAUUAAAAAAGUCCCAAUGCGGUGUAAUUCUCCCAUGUUGCAGCAUGUGGUAUCUUUCAGAAGACAUGUGUACAUGAUUCUGAAUAAUGAAAAUGAAGAAUUAAACCUGGUUAUGAAAUUCAAAGUUGAUAAUUUUGGUUAUGUGAUUUUUGCGACCUCUAGCAUGAUGAAAUGCUUCGGUUGCGGGAUGGAAGGUCACACUAUUAGAGCAUGUCCAGAUAAAGAAAUACAAAGUGCAGUGCAGGAUAAUGUGGCAACGGUAGGGACGAGCGCUGACAGUGUUAGAGCGCGUAAUCCCAAACUCAAUGCGGAGAGCAACGGUAGUGAAGUUGUGGAGACGAUGGAGGUGAAUACUAUGGCAAUUGAUGAUACAACGGUGGUAAAUGGAGAUGUAAAUAUUGUUUCAAACGGUGGUGAAGGAAAAGAUGAUUCGGUACAGAAAAAUGAAGUUGCUGCUGUUGUGGCUGAGGCGGGUAGUGAUGGUUUGGAUAUGGCAGAGGAUGAAUCUAUGUUCAAAACCCCUGCAAUGAAAAGAAAGAGAAAGAAAAAAGCAAAGAAAAUAGUGGAGGGUAACGGCUUAAACGUUGAGGAGGAUGAAGUCGAUUCAGACACUAGUUGUCUUAAUGAAUCUGCUCAGGGAAGUGAGUGUGAGUCUUCAGACUCUUCUGUGGCUGUGAGGAGGUCAGUAAGAAUUGCUUAUACUUUGGAGAAAAUGAAGAUAUUUCUGCAGAACACUAAAGGAAUGAAAGGGGUGAAAGUAGAGGAAUUUUUCCCGGAUAGGCAAAGAUUCUUGGACACAGCUAAAAUAUUGAUGAAGGAGACAGGGGAGUGUGGAUUUACAGAUCAAGAAAUUUUCAGAUUAAAGAAAAUACUGCAUAAAAUCAAACUAAAUAUGCUUAAUGAAGAAUUUGAGAUGGCUUGAAUUUCUUUUCCCUUUUGUCGUUCUUAUCUUUGUUUGUUGUCCUGCACAGACGUUUUUUCCCACUAUAAUGAGCAGAAUUAAAAUAGGUACUUUGAAUUAAAAGGGCAACUCUUUUUCAAUUGAUAAAAAGAAAUAAAAUUGAUGUUAUGAUGAUACAGGAAACUCAUAGUGACUGUGCUAAUGAAAUUGAAUGGAAGAAGGAGUGGGAAGGUGAAAUUAUAUUGAGCCACAAAAGUGCGGUUAGUGGAGGAGUGGCUGUUCUUUUUCAGAUGAAUUUUUUACCAAUAUCCUACGAAGUUGAAAAUGUGGUGGAUGGACAUUUAAUGAUUGUAAAGGCACAGUUUGAGAAAUUAAAAUUAGUCUUUAUUAACGUUUAUGCUCCUACUUUAGGGGUAAAUAGAGUGGCUCUUUUAAAUAAAAUUGAUAUUUUAUUGUCUAAUUGUCGUACUGAAGAUUACAUGUUUAUGGGUGGGGAUUUUAAUUGUACCGAAAAUUACAAUCUAGAUCGAAAUCAUUCAGAGCCACAUAUGGCGUCACA